rnacentral:lncRNA from 1 species
GAAAUUUCAGGAGUGGUAUGAUUCGGUCUCUCGCGGUGUAUUCGACUUUGAGAAGGAAGCUUUGUUUUACUGCAAAAACGAUGUCCAGAUUCUCUUUGAAGGGUGCGUGAGAUUCAGAAAUCAGUUUCUGAAUGAGACAAAAGUUGACCCGUUCAGUCGGAUAACUAUAUCCUCAGCCUGUAUGAAAGUUUUUCUCACAAACUUUCUACGUCCUCGCACACUCGCCAUUCCUCCUCCUGAUGAUUACCGUCGUCAGGUCAAAAGUUACUCUCACGCUUCUAUCCAGUGGUUGGAAUAUGUGUCACACAGCCGGGGUGUUUUCAUUCAGCAUGCUCUAAACAGAGGCGAGAAGCAAAUAGGUCCUUACUUUGUUGACGGGUUUGCAAAGAUCGGUGAUGUGGAAUGGGUUUUUGAGUUCCAGGGUUGUUUUUUCCACGGCUGUCCGAUUUGUUUUCAGCCGCAUGAAACAUGCCCUCUGACUGGGAAGCCCUUUGAAGAGCUGUACACAGCUUCAGAGGAAAAAUUACAUCGGCUGAGAUCCGUCUACGGUCUACAGACCUGUGUGAUUUGGGAACACGAGUGGCUGGAGAUGAAAAAAUCAGAUCCGAGAGUAGGCGAGUUUCUGAAGGAAUUUGACCCUCCUGAACCUCUCUCCCCCAGACAGGCUCUGUACGGAGGCCGUACGAGUGCGCUGCGGCUGCGGUACACAGCGGGUGCUGGCGAAUCUGUGCAUUACGUGGAUGUAACUUCAUUAUACCCGUACGUAAACAGCAGUUGCGCUUAUCCUUUAGGCCAUCCCAUCGUAAUUCAUGAAGAUUUUGACGACCCUCGAAACUACUUUGGGUUAAUUCGAGCCGUUGUCAACCCUCCGAGGGGUCUCUUUCACCCGGUGUUACCUUACAAAUCUUCCAGAGGUAAACUGCUGUUCACUCUCUGUCGCACCUGUGCUGAGAUAAAUAACCAGAUGACCUUAUGCGAUCAUGAUGAAAACGCCCGUGCAUUGACGGGGGUGUGGGUCACUCCCGAAUUCAACAAAGCUCUGGAGCUCGGGUACAAAGUUGCAAAAAUCAUCGAAGUUUGGCACUUUAGCGAGCGAAGCGACUCUGUUUUUGUAGGAUACGUGCACACUUUUCUGAAGGGGAAACAGGAAGCGUCAGGCUACCCGGCAGAUGCGGUGGAUCAGGAAAGCAGGGACAGAUACAUACAGCAGUACAAACAGGAGCAAGGCAUUCAGCUCGAUGCGGCCAGAAUCCGCUUUAACCCGGCACUUCGCUCUGUCUGCAAACUGGCUCUGAACUGCUUCUGGGGAAAGAUGGCAGAGAGGCCUAAUCUAACACAGACCUCAAUCGUGUCUGAUCCUGCACAGUUCUUCAGUUAUCUGUUUUCAGGAAAGUAUCAGAUCAAGUACUUUUCUUUUCUGAACAACGACGCUGCUUUGGUUCAGUGGAAUUACAACGAGAGGUGUCUUGUUCCACCCGGGAGAACCAAUAACGUAUUUGUCGCCGCG